UUUAUUAAACUUAAACUUUAUCUAAAUUAUUGUAAUAGUCUAUUUGUAAUGAUAUGCACUUCUACUUGAAUAGAUACUUAUUGCAUAUUAUGGAUGUUUCUACACUGACAACAAUUAGCCUUAACUGAAAUUAUAAUUUGUUGACACUUAUUAUCAUGAAGGAAAAUAUAAAAGCUUCUUUGAGCCACCAAAAGGUAUUGUCAGCAUCUCUUUUAUUCAAUUGAGGUUCUCUUAACUUCUUUUGAAGAAGUUCUGUCACCACUUCCGUAUACAUUGCUCGCGGAAGCUCAAAUAUUAAGGAAUCGAGCAAAGAGCCUUUAUCAAUCAAGCCACCUUUUUGAGAGCACUCACAUGCUUAACAAGAGAAGAAAUGGCCUUGGACUUUUUUGGUGGCUUGUGAUAGAUACCUUGAAGAUAAAGGAGAUUAAAGGUGAUCCAUUACUUGAUGCAAGUGCAUUUAAAGCUUUAAUCGGCCUUCUCUAAUUGGCACAAGUAAAUUUAGUUCUCUUAGUUAAAUAAGUCUCUCUUGCUAGGUGUGAAAUGAAGUAUGUAUUUUAUAAAUUUGUGGCAUCAAAAUACUUGACCCCUAUAAUAUAAUUGUGUUUUUCUAACAGUGACAAAUA